UGCGCCUACGGGAGGCAGCAGUGGGGAAUAUUGCACAAUGGGGGGAACCCUGAUGCAGCGACGCCGCGUGAGUGAAGAAGUAUUUCAGUAUGUAAAGCUCUAUCAGCAGGGAAGAUAAUGACGGUACCUGACUAAGAAGCCCCGGCUAACUACGUGCCAGCAGCCGCGGUAAUACGUAGGGGGCAAGCGUUAUCCGGAUUUACUGGGUGUAAAGGGUGCGUAGGUGGCAGGGCAAGUCAGAUGUGAAAGCCCGGGGCUCAACCCCGGCGAGCCGUUGAAACUGGCGGGCUGGAGUUGGAGAGAAG
rnacentral:rRNA from 1 species